AACAAUAAUUAACACUAAUUAACUGCAGUGGCUCCUGCUGGCCCUGAUGCUGGCGCUGUUAGGGUGAUGCCGAGGUGCCAAUUAACACUAAUUAACGCUAAUUAACGCUAAUUAACGGUAAUUAACGCAGUGGUUAUUGCUGGCCCUGGCCCUGGCGCUGCCCCCGGUGUCGGCCGAGCCGCGGCGGCUCCAGAUCGGGUGGCUCCUGCUGGCCCUGGCCCUGGCGCUGCCCCCGGUGUCGGCCGAGCCGCGGCGGCUCCAGAUCGGGGUGAGGAAGCGGUGCCAAUUAACGCUAAUUAACACUAAUUAACGGUAAUUAACGUGGUUAUUGCUGGCCCUGGCCCUGGCGCUGCCCCCGGUGUCGGCCGAGCCGCGGCGGCUCCAGAUCGGGGUGAGGAAGCGGUGCCAAUUAACGCUAAUUAACGGUAAUUAACGGUAAUUAACGGUAAUUAACGGUAAUUAACGGUAAUUA